GCGCCCUCGCCAAAUAAUCCUCCUCCUCCUCCGUCGUCUACAUCUCGUAGGUCCGGACUCAUCGGUUAGCAGAGUAAAAUCUGGCUUGGUCAUCAGUAUUCAGUGACCAAGUGGACACUCCUACGUGUGGUUGCUCUACCGGUACCACUACCGGAAUCAGAGCGUGAUUUCAGUAUAAUUAACCAAGUGGAUGCUUGCAUGCCCCUGCCAAACGUGCUACCAAAGUCCAAAUCGGCCACUAAAAAACACUUGUGAUUCUUCAACGGUCGCCGUCGCGGCUGGUUUCAUGCAUUGACCACUCUCGCUCGCUCCAAUCCUCGAUCUCAUCCACGUCAUAGAUAAAACCGGGUUCAGCUGUUACUUAAUUGAUUGAGCUAAGGCCCUUGUUUAGAUCUAUUUUUUUUUGGAUUUUGAUACUAUAAUACUUUCGUUUUUAUUCGACAAACAUUAUUCAAUCAUGAAGUAACUAGGCUUAAAAGAUUCGUUUUACAAUUUACAGACAAACUAUAUAAUUAGUUUUUAUUUUUAUUUAUAUUUAAUGCUUCAUGCAUAUACUGUAAUAUUUGAUGUGACGAGAAAUCUUAAUUUUUUUUAUUUUUGGGUGAACUAAACAAGGCCUAGGAUGAUGAAAGCUACAUGCUUAUAGUCCUGCUUGUAUGACGGUAGGGAACAGCAACAGGUACCGUACACUAGCAGCAGUGAGAACGCGGAACUGGAUGGAGUAUAUAAGUAAGCGGCCUAGUCAAAAGAAGUGAUCUUCUGACUAGAUACAUGACAGUAACCUUUGGCAUGAAUUCCUUUUCCUUUUCUUUUUCAAAACACGAACACAGAUGGUUAUAUACAUGUAUUUAUACACUUAUCCCCAGCCGUAGACACAUAUACAUUCUAAUAAUCUACCUAUAUCUACAUAUAUUCUGACAUACUCCUUCUCUCCUAGAAAGCACGUCGUUGUGAGGUUCAAAAUCUGUCCCAAAAUGAAAGUUGUUGUAAAGUUCUGAUAGGUACACCAGCUAUUAGUUAUGAAAACUUUUUGGUUUUCGGUAUUGUAGUACUUGCCUUUUUAUUUGACAAUGUCCAAUCAUGGACUAACUAGAUUCAAAAAAUUCAUCUCGUGAUUUACAGAUAAACUGUACAAUUAGUUUUUAUUUUCGUUUAUAUUUAGUGCUUCAUUAUAUGCUAUAAGAUUCGAUGGGAAGGAAAUCUUGAAAAGUUUUUAGUUUUUAAGGUAAACUAGUCUAGUUCCAGCAAAGAGUCAGGCCUAUCAUAUAUUUGCCUCCUCCAUUGUGUCGUUCAUUUGUGUGUAGUGGGCAUUUUACAAUAACAAUUAAUGCAAUUCCUUUCAUGUGCUUAGAGCGUCUGCAAUGAUGCUCACUACGUAGCUAGCUUAUGUGAAGGUGAGAAAUAAGAGCAAAGUCUAUUUUAUAUAUGUUUAUGGACCCACAUGUCACUUUCUCAGAUUUUUGAACUACAUGAAAUAGAUAAGUUAUUAGCUCAUCGCUAAUGACUACUAUUUCUCCUACUUUUUACCUGUCCACAUUAUAAUAGCUAGCCAAAUAGUUAACCACUGAGGACAUCCUUAUAGGGAUAAUGCAUAUAAUUUUCCAGUUCCUUAGGACUUGCAAAAGGACUUGCAUUCUAGGACUGAGGGAGUAGAUAAAAUCACCAUAUGUUUUUUUAGAUAAAGGAUAGUUUAUAUCCGGCUUCAUCUACCAUAAGGUAGAAUCAGACCAUUUAUUACAUAAGUCGGUCAAUCGACCGGCAAAGGACCCA
rnacentral:lncRNA from 1 species